UUAAAACUACGAAAGGAAGUUCGACGGGGCCCGCACAAGCGGUGGAUUAUGUGGAUUAAUUCGAUGCAACGCGAAAACCUUACCUGGCCUUGACAUGCCACUAACGAAGCAGAGAUGCAUUAGGUGCCCGAAAGGGAAAGUGGACACAGGUGCUGCAUGGCUGUCGUCAGCUCGUGUCGUGAGAUGUUGGGUUAAGUCCCGCAACGAGCGCAACCCUUGCCGAUAGUUGCUACAUUCAGUUGAGCACUCUAUUGGGACUGCCGGUGACAAACCGGAGGAAGGUGGGGAUGACGUCAAGUCCUCAUGGCCCUUAUGGCCAGGGCUUCACACGUAAUACAAUGGUCGGUACAGAGGGUUGCCAACCCGCGAGGGGGAGCUAAUCUCAGAAAGCCGAUCGUAGUCCGGAUUGCACUCUGCAACUCGAGUGCAUGAAGUCGGAAUCGCUAGUAAUCGCGGAUCAGCAUGUCGCGGU
rnacentral:rRNA from 1 species